CCCCACCCCGCACCUUGCCUCACACACACACUUAGCUCACUAACACACACACGGAAAGCACUCAUACACACACAACAGUGGGAGAGAGAGAGAGAGAGAGAGAAAUGGAAGGGAAGAUGAGCGUGCCGGCAACGGAAGGGUGCUGCCACCACCGUUACUGCGCCGUUGCCACCGUUUCAUAGAGUUGUCGCCGUCGUCGUGGUCGCCGAGAGGGAGGACGAUGUGCGAGGAAGAGAAGGUUGCGGUCAGCCUCGUCGCCAUUCGCGUUUGGCCGUCGCCGCUGCCGCGUCCUUUAACGGUGCUGCUGCACACGAGCUGGAAGAGCUCAUCCUCACCAUUUUGCCACCAUCGAAGCCAGGAGACAUCACGUCGUCGUCGGGGAAUCAGAACCGCGAGAAAGAGGGAUCCCGUCGAGCUGCUGGAGGUUGCACCGCGUGCCACUGACAGCCGGGAAGCCGCACUGACGUCGCCACUCCUUCACCGCCGCCACUGCCGGAGUUUUUGGUCACUAGGUAUAGCGCUGAUGUCGCUGAAACCACCAUCGGAGUUGCUGCUGCUUAGUUUUCUCGUUCAUCCUUUGUUACGAUAAGCGUUUUCAUUUUGGAAUCUUUGAAAAUUAGUAUGUUAUGAUUGGUUAGAAAUUCUUAGGUUUUGAUAAUAUAGGAUCGAGUCUCGGUUAUUGCCAGUCACGAUUGAAACUGCCGCUGCUGUGGGCUGGGAGAAAAAGGAGUUUUGUGUCGCGAAGUUAUGUCGCGAUUGAGCUAUCAACUCUGUGUCAGGUUUGAGCAACCAUGCUUGUGCACUUGAGUCAACAAUGAGAGCUACUAUACUUGAAAGGAUGAUCACAAAACUACAAGAAAUUGUUGCUACCAUUAACUCUUCAGGUUAGUUAUUCAAUCACCUUGACAAUGAAGACGAGCGAAAGACAGAAGCUGCCGGCCGAAAGAAGGAAGCCUCCGAGCACCCAAUCCGAUGGUUCAGGAAUUAAGUUUUCACCCGAGACGACGAUGUUAUGCGGC